rnacentral:rRNA from 1 species
AACGAACGCUGGCGGCAUGCCUAACACAUGCAAGUCGAACGAGACCUUCGGGCUUAGUGGCGCACGGGUGCGUAACGCGUGGGAACCUGCCCUUAGGUUCGGAAUAACUCCCCGAAAGGGGUGCUAAUACCGGAUAAUGUCCUCGGACCAAAGAUUUAUCGCCUUUGGAUGGGCCCGCGUUGGAUUAGCUAGUUGGUAGGGUAAAAGCCUAUCAAGGGGACGAUCCAUAACUGGUUUGAGAGGCUGAUCAGCCACACUGGGACUGAGACACGGCCCAGACUCCUACGCAAGGCAGCAGUGGGUAAUAUUGGACAAUGAGCGAAAGCCUGAUCCAGCAAUGCCGCGUGAGUGAUGAAGGCCUUAGGGUUGUAAAGCUCUUUUACCCGGGAUGAUAAUGACAGUACCGGGAGAAUAAGCUCCGGCUAACUCCGUG